rnacentral:rRNA from 1 species
GACGAACGCUGGCGGCGUGCCUAAUACAUGCAAGUCGAACGCAGUGGGGACGGGUGAGUAACACGUGGGUAACCUCCCAUCAGAGGGGAUAACACUUGGAAACAGGUGCUAAACCGAUACUGAUGGAUGGACCCGCGGUGGAUUAGCUAGUUGGUGAGGAAACGGCUCACCAAGGCCACGAUGCAUCGCCGACCGUGGAGGGGGGUCCGCAAAACGGGCAACAGUACACGGCCCAGGACCCGAGGGAAGGAAGUAGUAGGUAAUAUUAGGCAAUGGACGAAAGCCUGACCGAGCAACGCCGAGUGAGGGAAGAAGGGUUUCGGAACGGAAAACCCGGUGGUUAGAGAGGCGGUAUCUAACCAGAAAGCCACGGCUAACUACGUGCCAGCAGCCGCGGUAAUUC